CGGGGUGGAGCAGCUCGGUAGCUCGCUGGGCUCAUAACCCAGAGGUCGCAGGUUCAAAUCCUGUCCCCGCUA
rnacentral:tRNA from 2 species